AUGAGGCAGGUAAAGAGAAUAGGUGAUGGCGUGUACCUGCCCCCUGAGGCCUUCACGUUCAACAUCAAGCUGUCUAGUCCUGUGAAACGCCCACGGAAGGAGCCUGUGGAUGAGGACCUGUACCCAGAGCACUACCGAAAAUACUCCGACUACAUCAAAGGCAGCAACCUGGAUGCCCCUGAGCCCUACCGAAUUGGCCGGAUCAAAGAGAUCUUCUGUCCCAAGAAGAACAACGGCAGGCCCAACGAGACUGACAUCAAGAUCCGGGUCAACAAGUUCUACAGGCCUGAGAACAGCCACAAGUCCACCCCGGCGAGCUACCACGCAGACAUCAACCUGCUCUACUGGAGCGACGAGGAGGCUGUGGUGGACUUCAAGGCCGUGCAGGGCCGCUGCACCAUGGAGUAUGGGGAGGACCUGCCUGAGUGCGUCCAGGUGUACUCCAUGGGCAGCCCCAACUGCUUCUAUUUCCUCGAGGCCUAUAAUGCGAAGAGUAAAAGCUUUGAAGAUCCUCCCAACCAUGCCCGUAGCCCUGGAAACAAAGGGAAGGGCAAGGGAAAAGGGAAGGGCAAGCCCAAGUCCCAAGCCUGCGAGCCUAGCGAGCCAGAGAUGGAGAUCAAGCUGCCCAAGCUGCGGACCCUGGACGUGUUUUCUGGCUGCGGGGGGUUGUCGGAGGGAUUCCACCAAGCAGGCAUCUCUGACACGCUGUGGGCCAUCGAGAUGUGGGACCCCGCGGCCCAGGCGUUCCGACUGAACAACCCCGGCUCCACGGUGUUCACAGAGGACUGCAACAUACUGCUGAAGCUGGUCAUGGCCAGGGAGACCACCAACUCCCGCGGCCAGCGGCUGCCCCAGAAGGGAGAUGUGGAGAUGCUGUGCGGUGGCCAGCCCUGCCAGGGCUUCAGUGGCAUGAACCGCUUCAACUCACGCACCUACUCCAAGUUCAAAAACUCGUUGGUGGUCUCCUUCCUCAGCUACUGCGACUACUACCGGCCCCGGUUCUUCCUCCUGGAGAAUGUCAGGAACUUUGUCUCCUUCAAGCGUUCCAUGGUCCUGAAGCUCACCCUCCGCUGCCUGGUCUGCAUGGGCUAUCAGUGCACCUUCCGCGUGCUGCAGGCCGGUCAGUACGGCGUGGCCCAGACGCGGAGGCGGGCCAUCAUCCUGGCCGCAGCCCCUGGAGAGAAACUUCCCCUGUUCCCGGAGCCGCUGCACGUGUUUGCGCCCCGGGCCUGCCAGCUGAGUGUGGUGGUGGACGACAAGAAGUUCGUGAGCAAUAUAACCAGGUUGAGCUCAGGUCCUUUCCGGACCAUCACGGUGCGAGACACAAUGUCCGACCUGCCAGAAGUGCGGAAUGGAGCUUCAGCACUGGAGAUCUCCUACAACGGGGAGCCUCAGUCCUGGUUCCAGAGGCAGCUCCGGGGCGCACAGUACCAGCCCAUCCUCAGGGACCACAUCUGUAAGGACAUGAGUGCAUUGGUGGCUGCCCGCAUGCGGCACAUCCCCUUGGCCCCCGGCUCAGACUGGCAGCGAUCUGCGGAACAUCGAGGUGCGGCUCUCGGACGGCACCAUGGCCAGGAAGCUGCGGUAUACCCACCAUGACAGGAAGAAUGGCCGCAGCAGCUCUGGGGCCCUCCGUGGGGUCUGCUCCUGCGUGGAAGCCGGCAAAGCCUGCGACCCCGCAGCCAGGCAGUUCAACACCCUCAUCCCCUGGUGCCUGCCCCACACCGGGAACCGGCACAACCACUGGGCUGGCCUCUAUGGAAGGCUCGAGUGGGACGGCUUCUUCAGCACAACCGUCACCAACCCCGAGCCCAUGGGCAAGCAGGGCCGCGUGGUGAGCGUGCGGGAGUGCGCCUGCUCCCAGGGCUUCCCCGACACCUACCGGCUCUUCGGCAACAUCCCGGACAAGCACAGGCAGGUGAGCAACGCUGUGCCACCGCCCCUGGCCAAAGCCAUUGGCUUGGAGAUCAAGCUUUGUAUGUUGGCCAAAGCCCGAGAGAGUGCCUCAGCUAAAAUAAAGGAGGAGGAAGCUGCUAAGGACUAGUUCUGCCCUCCCUUCACCCCUGUUUCUGGCACCAGGAAUCCCCAACAUGCACUGAUGUUGUGUUUUUAACAUGUCAA